GGCCCUAAAUCUUGAUGUUUCCCAUACAAAAACAUCCGCCCGAGAACUACGAGCACAAACGCUUAAAACUCUAAGGACUUGGCGGUGCCCUAAACCCACCUAGAGGAGCCUGUUCUAUAAUCGAUAAUCCACGAUACACCCGACCACCCCUUGCCAAAACAGCCUACAUACCGCCGUCGCCAGCCCACCUUCCAUGAAAGCACAAUAGUGAGCCCAACAGCCCACAACCACUAACACGACAGGUCAAGGUAUAGCCCAUGGAGUGGAAGAAAUGGGCUACAUUCUCUAAAAUAGAUAACCUAACGAAAAGAGGCCUGAAACCUGCCUCCAGAAGGCGGAUUUAGCAGUAAAGGGGGAUAAUAAAUGCCCCCUUUAAGUCGGCUCUAGGGCA
rnacentral:rRNA from 1 species